AAACAUCGCUCUUUGUAUUACAUAAAGAGUCGUGCCUGCCCAAUGAAUUAUUUUAAUGGCCGCAGUACCCUGACUGUGCAAAGGUAGCGUAAUCAAUUGCCCUUUAAUUGGGGGCGUGUAUGAAUGGCUUGUUAAAAUAUAGCUGUCUCUAUGAAAAUGUAUAGAAAUUAGUUUCUAAAUGAGGAAAUUUAGAUAAAAUUUAUAGACGAGAAGACCCUGUCGAGCUUAAAAGUCUUUUUAUAAUAAAUAUUUAUUAAUUAAAAGUUAAUGUAAAAUUAUUUUGGUUGGGGCCACCUAGGAAUAAAUAUAAUUUCCUUACUUAAUAUUUAUCGAUAAAUUUUAAUCCAUAUCUAUAUGAAAAAAAUUAGCUACCGCAGGGAUAACAGCGUAAUUUUUUUUGAGAGUUCUUAUUGAAAAAAAAGUUUGCGACCUCGAUGUUGGACUAAAAUUUCCUAAAAGUGCAGCAGCUUUUAAUGGUUGGUCUGUUCGACCAUUAAAAUUUUACAUGAUCUGA
rnacentral:rRNA from 1 species